CGGGAAUCCAAUAAAUAACUUGAAUGUAAAUAAAAGUAAUUAGAGAACUCAGGAGUUAUGAAUUGAAGAUACUGGAGAACGAUGAAGAACGAACCAGUUGCUGCAAAAGUACAAUGUUGAGGAAGAUCCGACAGAUCCGGCUCCUCCUCCGCUCUCCUCUUCUCUCUCCCUAUUUUCUAGAUUACAACUAGAACUAACUAGAACUAGAACUAGAGGAACUAGAACUAGAACUAGAUGAACUAGAUCUAGAUCUAGAUGAACUAGAGGUAGAACUAGAAGAACUAGAGGGAUCCUCUCUACUUGGAUGAAGAAUUGAAACCCUAACUUUGAUUCUGUAGAAGAGGUAUGCUCUCCAGGGGCCAGGGGGCCUUGCUUAUAUAGUCUUUUCAGAUGAAUCUGGGCCAUCGGAUCAAACCGACAUUGAUCGUGUGGUUUUCCUUGAAGUAUUAGGUCGGUAGAGCAUGAUCCCUGAGCUUCACCCUGAUUGGUCCAGGGUGGAGGGCGGGCGCCCAGUGCCCGGCUCCGUUACGUCUCCCGUUCGCUCCCGUGGCUUCUGGAGUCUUCUAGAUGGUAGAAAAUUGCGCGGCACGUUAAUAUCUCUAUGUAAACCCAACGUGUGGGCCUUUCUUCCGUAUUUCCUGAUAACCCCCUGCAGAAAUCUGUCAGAUAAAACCCUAAGUCUGGGUGUUGGUUGCAUUUGGAUCCUUUUCCAUGAUUAAUUGAUGGUUAAAUGUGAGCAUUAAGGAACGUCAACAAGCUCCCCCAAGCUUAACCUUUGCUCGUCCCUGAGCAAAGCUAAAAUCAUCAAGAAAACAGGGGUUACUUUUAUGCCUUUUACUAAAGGGGUUUUAAGUUAUCACUAAGGUCUUAAGUGAUUGAAAAACAGAAUGAUCAAGUCAAGCACUAUGUCACAAGUUCUUCUGUCUUACCUUUGUUCUGGAGUAGUUUGUAAGUUUCCAAAAUAAAUCUGAGGCAUUUGCCUUCUUCUCGAAAGAUAUAUAAGUAGAGCUUUAAAAAUUUUAGCAUACUUACUUUGCAUUUUGCUAUGUCAAUGCUCGGAGCAAGGGAGAGGAAUGUCAUACUCCUAGAUCAAGACCUUUGACCUUUUUGAAGAGUUUGUCAUCUCUUACUGGCAUAUUGCUUAUUAGAGGGACCAUGGGCUAUCAUUUUUUUUCCUUUUUUUUCUCUCUUUUUUUUAGUCUCUUUUUUUCAAGUGGGCAGCAAGUACCCCUAAUUCUACUAUCGGACACAUGUCCAUUUUUUUCCACUCAGGUGGGUAUCUUUGUACCUCUAAUUCUACUUCGGACACUUGUCCAUUUUUACCUCUCAUCUCACUCUUUUUUUUCGAAUCAAAUUUUUGCAUAGUCCCAUGCCUCUAACGCAAUAAUACUUCGGAAGAGUGAAUCUUUUAUAUUUUUAAAACAAAAAGAUCUUGAUCUUGGGAGCAUGAUAAUUCUCUCAACCAAAACUACAAGAAUUAACAAUGGCUUGAACAAAGAAAGUACCCGCAGUUUUAAUAUUUAUUUCUUAUAAGACUCUAGGUAUUAUGAUCUCAUAUAUUUUUUUUAUGAAUUUUUAGAUUUUCAAAAGAUAAAAUCUCCAGAACUCUAGCAAAACUUGGAACAAGUUAAAUAGUAGCUCAGACCUUCUCAUAUCAUGUUUGUCAAUUACCUAGACUUGAAUCAAACUUUCUUUUUAUUUUAUUUAAAACUUAGUAUUACAUAAAACUGUUAUAUAUUACUCAAAACAAAAACUGUGUUUGGUUUCAUGGUUAUGCAUUUUUUUUAUUUCUGAAUACUAGUAAAUAAAACUAAGAAAGAAAAAUAAUACUUAUCUUGAUUUAUUUUUUUUUAUUUAGCAAACUAAGCAAAGAUAUAUAUAUAUAUAAGCACAAAAUCUUUAUUUGGGUUUUUAUGAUUAUGCAUCUUUUUAUUAUUUGAGUAAAGUAUAAACGUGAGUAGAACACUUAGCUGGAUAAAUGGGGGUGCUCUCCCCCAAGCUGGAUUUUGACAUAAUUUCUUCUGAUGUAGCUAGCAGGUGGCGGAGGUGUAUUUGAAUGUCGGCAGCACUCUGACAGCGAUUAGGAUGUCCUUCGUCUGCUAGUCUUCUUUGAUACUUGAAUUUUGUGGAGCUCAAAUGGACAACAAAGCUUUGUGGAACUAGUUAAGUGUUAGCAUAAAUAUCUAGCCUUUAUCAUGUUGAGCCUCCUCAAUAAAUGUUACUCAUUAGUAGGAUCAUAAUUUUAUUUUUAUAAUUUUAUUUUUAUAGGACAAGAAUAUAUUUAUUUUAUUUUUAUGCCACCACAGUGAAUGUACUUAUGGGUUUUAUGCCAUGAGCAUACUCACAUGGGGCUUACUAUUUUUAACAUUUUUAUUUUCUUUUUAAGAUGAUAUGAACCUGAUUAACUAAGCAAACUAUUUUAAAUAAUUGAAAGGGAAAAAGGAUAACUACCAAGUUUAACUCUUACCAAGGCGUUCGGUGUUUUUAAGUCCUCCGAACGAGACUCUCUAUUUUCUCAGUUGUCCUGGGAUUCGCUGGAUGGCGUAGUCAGUGGUUCCGGCAGCGCCUGGUCUUCAUGUAUAACUAUCUUCUCUCUCCAUACCUGACACGGUGCUACGGUCUCCUCAGUACAGUUCUGUUCAAGUUGUAUGUCUUCAGACCUUACCACUUCUCCUUCAUAAUCCGCCCAUUCAUCCUUGAUAAUUUGCCUACUCUGGUUGCAGUUGCGUCGUCUUCUUCUUGUCCUGACCUGCUUAGAGUCUUCAACUAUAUAGUUAGGGUCAGUAAAACAACGGCGUACCUUCUCAGAUGGGAAGUGCAUGUGGACUUCUCUGGUUCCAAUGUAUAUGAUUGCUUAAAUGGUGCUGAGGAACUGUCUCCCAAGGAUGAUGGGUGGAUCGUACUCGUCUUCUCCCAUGUCAAUAACUUCAACCUUCCGAAAUGUUUGAUCUGCCAUCUGGAGCUGGGUGUAUGUCGGUUUUAAGGGCAUGGUUCCUAACAGAAGCUGAUAGGUGACUGAGUCAUCCUUUUUGGUCAGGAACGGUGACUUAAAUAGAUGAUCUUGACCUCCUUGAACUGCAGUGACCAUCUUAGCUGACUCGGUCCACACUUGCUUGUUCCUGUUCCUCCUGUUGAUCCCCUUCCUUGGUUCAUGUCGGGAAUGCUCUGAGAUUGUGUAGUCUUGUUCUUGAAGGAAAAUGUCUCAUUUCUCCUUUUGAUGUAGAAACUGAUCUUGGCAGCACUAUCGUAGAUGACAGCUCCCGAGGUGUUCAGGAAUGGCCUCCCUAAGAUGGGUGCCCUCUCAUCAGUAACAGUCUCUAUCACCACGAAGUUUGCUGGGACGUACAAGGUACCAACUCGAACAUAGAGGUUCUUCAAUAUUUCCUUUGGGAAGCUUAGUGUCUGAUCUGCAGGCUUGGGCAUAAUGUUGACGCUGGAGCCAAAGUCGCAGAGUGCUUCUAGGAAGUCCACCAUGCCGAUGGAGAUCGGGAUGAUGGGGCGUCCUGGGUUGUCUCUCUUGACCGGCAGAAGGUCAGUAAUUACUUCCACUACGGGGUUACUCCAGUAGUUACGUCCUCAAGCAUCUCAGGGCAGUGAUUGCCUCAGUGUCCAGUAUCUCUAGUGUGUUUGUGCUCGUAGAUCUAGGUUCUUCACUUGGUGGAGUCUGGGAGUUGUAAAAGUCCAUCAUAUUUUGCUCGAAGUGUACCUGCUCAUAGAGACAAGGCAGAGAUCAAGUGCAUGGGCCCUGUUGGUGGAAAACACCAACAGAACCAAAAGUGUAUUUGUUCUUCUCUAACCUUAAGCAUAGUGAGCAAGACAAAGUUGAAGGAUAAUAAGAUCAUGAGUGUAGCAUUUAAAGCAUUUGUCCGAUCAGAUCGCUCAACCUAAUGGAAAGAUAAUCUAUCUAUAUUUAUGUUGUUUUGUUUUGUUUGUUUUUUUAUAAAAUAUAUCUUCCAAAGAUUGAGUGUGCAACAUUUUAGCUCAUAUGAUUAGGAGUGUGGGAUCACAAAGGUGGAAUGACGAAACAUAUUGAAUCGACUGGGUUGGUUAAUCUAGAUUUAUAAAUCAUACAUGUUUGUCUCUUUUAUUCAUGUGAACGCCAGAACCAAGGAGAAGCUUAUAAAAGUGAUAGUCAAGUACCUUAAGAUGUUACCUUACUUGAAGAGUGAUGGUACGGUAUCUCCUUGUGGAAGCUUUCCUUUCUUAGCGGUUGUGCAUCGUGUUUGUAGCACCCUCCAUGGAUCAUCUCUUGUGAGCUAUGCCUUCCUUGUGUAAAUUGUUAAACUUCAUGUGCCUCUCUCUUUGUCAAAAAUGUGAGUGUAUCUCAGGACUUCCCAGGUCGAUAGUGAAAGUUUUCCUGCAGGGGUUAGUCCAACAAAAUAUCCCAUAUCUACUAUAGCAUACUAUCGGCUCAAAAAUCAACCUAGACACCAUGUCUAAUUUGAUUCAGGAGGGCUUUUUUAACCUAAGCACCAUGCUUAAUUUAAAACCCCUUGGAAGUAAGAUCAUCAUUCCUAAACUAAGCACCAAGCUCAAUUAAGAGAUAAAUGAAACUACUCCAAACCUAGACAUAUACUAAAGCAAAUAAAGGUAGCAUGAGAGCAUUUAUAGAGAUCUACUCAAGUGGAGAUGAAGUAGUGUGAUUAGUAUUUAACAAAUUGAGUAUGUCUCAAUGGUAGGGUCAACCAAUAUAGCAACAUGGCAAAGGAUGUUUUUAUGUAAAGUACUCCCCCAUGUUUGAAUUUUGCAAAAUUCAAGUUUGGUUGAAUUUAAUUCAAUGUUGUAUGAUGAUUGGUUGUACAUACCUUGUGCUUGUCAUUCAUCCGAUCGUCUUGCUCCAAUCCUGGAAAGGUUAGUGACAAGAAUACCCGAAGGAAUAUUUUUACAAUUAUCCUUAUAUGCUCAACACACAAGGUAAUGUUGCAAAUAAUUAAAAGCUCAUGUUAAGAUCUGAUCAGUGCUUGUUUUACGACACUAAGCUUGUCCUUGGGAAACCAUUAAUUUAUGUCUGCGAAGUGGUUUCCCCUCCAACGCUGACCUAUAUCAAGAUCAACUCAACGAGAUUUGCAAUAUAUAUUAUAGACAUAUGCAUCGACAACCUCCCUUUUAAAGUUUUUAUAAAUAGAAAGGAAGAGGGGGUUGGAGAUCUCGAAUGUGGUGAUGUUGGAGAGACCAAUGGAUUUUGAAGAUGUUGCAUAUGAGCAUGAAGUGAAGUGGCAAUGAAAUAAAUUCCAUGCUCAUUAAUGCUUAGAGUGAAAUCCAUGUGGUAUGGUGAAAGUGAUAAGGUGAGUGUGGUAAAAAGGGAAAAGAAAAAGGAUACACGGACGACUUGGUUCGAAACUAGCACAGCUACCGUUCCCCGGCAACGGCGCCAGAAAGCUUGUUGGGUAUUUUAAACGCAAACAGAAAAAUCCGCAAGCGCACGGAUACCGAUGUAGCUUUCACCCGGGAGUAUUCCAGAGUAUCGAUUUUCAACAGAGAACGUGAGUGUACUAAUUAAGAUCCAAGAUCGCCCAAGGAUAACUAUAUAAUUAUUUUUGGUGGGAAGAGAGGAAGUUUCCUGAGAGUUCUCUAGUUGAUCUAAGAAUCAAGAAUUACUUCAAGAUUAUCUAUAUCGGGACAUCAGAGCACUAACCACAGAAAGAGAUGAGAAGGGGGCUAGGAAGGUCUGACUACGGUCCUACAAACACCGAUCCGAACGUGGUGGAAUACGUCGACCGUUAGGGCUGUCACUACCCUAGGGCUACCACAACAAUCCGUAGGAUUGGGUGCAAUUCCAGGUAAUCGCAAGACUAAACACCACGUCUAAUCUAUUAAUUACUACUCUAGCGUUAUAAAGACUAGAGCACUUGAUGCAAGCGGGAAUCCAAUAAAUAACUUGAAUGUAAAUAAAAGUAAUUAGAGAACUCAGGAGUUAUGAAUUGAAGAUCCUCGAGAACGAUGAAGAACGAACCAGUUGCUGCAAAAGUACAAUGUUGAGGAAGAUCCGACAGAUCCGGCUCCUCCUCCGCUCUCCUCUUCUCUCUCCCUAUUUUCUAGAUUACGACUAUAACUAACUAGAACUAGAACUAGAGGAACUAGAACUAGAACUAGAUGAACUAGAACUAGAGCUAGAUGAACUAGAGGUAGAACUAGAAGAACUAGAGGGAUCCUCUCUACUUGGAUGAAGAAUUGAAACCCUAACUUUGAUUCUGUAGAAGAGGUAUGCUCUCCAGGGGCCAGGGGGCCUUGCUUAUAUAGUCUUUUCAGAUGAAUCUGGGCCAUCGGAUCAAACCGACAUUGAUCGUGUGGUUUUCCUUGAAGUAUUAGGUCGGUGGAGCAUGAUCCCCGAGCUUCACCCUGAUUG
rnacentral:lncRNA from 1 species